ACGGAGGGGGCAAGCGUUAUUCGGAAUUAUUGGGCGUAAAGGGCGCGUAGGCGGCUUGACAAGUCAAAGGUGAAAUCCCUCGGCUCAACUGAGGAACUGCCUUUGAAACUGUCUGGCUUGAGGCCGGGAGGGGGUAGCGGAAUUCCCAGUGUAGCGGUGAAAUGCGUAGAUAUUGGGAGGAACACCAGUGGCGAAGGCGGCUACCUGGACCGGUUCUGACGCUGAUGCGCGAAAGCGUGGGUAGCAAACAGGAUUAGAUACCCUGGUAGUCCACGCUGUAAACGAUGAGUGCUCGGUGUCGCGGGUAUCGACCCCUGCGGUGCCUUAGCUAACGCGUUAAGCACUCCGCCUGGGGAGUACGGUCGCAAGGCUG
rnacentral:rRNA from 1 species